rnacentral:misc_RNA from 1 species
AACGCACAUUGCGCCCCUUGGUAUUCCGGGGGGCAUGCCUGUUCGAGCGUCAUUUCAACCCUCAAGCUUUGCUUGGUCUUGGGCACUGCCGGUGACGGCGUGCCUUAAAAGCAGUGGCGGUGCCAUUCGAGCUCUACGCGUAGUAAUUAACCCCUCGCGAUUGAGUCUUGGUGGAUGCUUGCCAGCAACCCUCAAUUUUUUAUGGUUGACCUCGGAUCAGGUAGGGAUACCCGCUGAACUUAA